rnacentral:lncRNA from 1 species
GGGAUACAAGUUUAGAAGCCUGAAGUUGUCUCUGAACUGACAGGAAAAUGUGGGGAAGUCCUUCUUACUACCAGGUUCCUGUGAAUCCACCUCCUGUCUAGAGAAAUCAUAAAGGAAUAAGUCUCUAUGGUGGCAAAGAACUGAAAAUUGAAGAGAUACUCAUCAAUUGGAGAAUGGCUACACAAAUUAUUGCA